CUGAGCAUCAGAUAUACCACAACUGGAAUGACAUACAAAGAAAAUCAGCAUGGCUCCUGCAUGAGGCUGACAUGCACUUCGCGAAGCAUUCCAUACUUAA
ensembl:snRNA U6 U6 spliceosomal RNA